CUACGUAGGGGGCAAGCGUUGUCCGGAAUCACUGGGCGUAAAGGGUGCGUAGGCGGGAGAUUAAGUCGGCGGUGAAAUUUUGCAGCUCAACUGUAAAAGUGCCUUCGAAACUGGUUUCCUUGAGUGUAGAUGAAGUAGGCGGAAUUUGUGGUGUAGCGGUGAAGUGCAUAGAUAUCACGAGGAACUCCGAUUGCGCAGGCAGCUUACUAAACUACUACUGACGCUCAGGCACGAAGGCGUGGGGAUCAAACAGGAUUAGAUACCCUGGUAGUCCACGCAGUAAACGAUGAUUACUAGCUGUUUGCGAUACAAUGUAAGCGGCUGAGCGAAAGCGUUAAGUAAUCCACCUGGGGAGUACGUUCGCAAGAAUGAA
rnacentral:rRNA from 1 species